UGGGGAAUUUUGGACAAUGGGCGCAAGCCUGAUCCAGCCAUGCCGCGUGCGGGAAGAAGGCCUUCGGGUUGUAAACCGCUUUUGUCAGGGAAGAAAUCUUCUGAGUUAAUACCUCGGGAGGAUGACGGUACCUGAAGAAUAAGCACCGGCUAACUACGUGCCAGCAGCCGCGGUAAUACGUAGGGUGCAAGCGUUAAUCGGAAUUACUGGGCGUAAAGCGUGCGCAGGCGGUUUUGUAAGACAGAGGUGAAAUCCCCGGGCUCAACCUGGGAACUGCCUUUGUGACUGCAAGGCUUGAGUGCGGCAGAGGGGGAUGGAAUUCCGCGUGUAGCAGUGAAAUGCGUAGAUAUGCGGAGGAACACCGAUGGCGAAGGCAAUCCCCUGGGCCUGCACUGACGCUCAUGCACGAAAGCGUGGGGAGCAAACAGGAUUAGAUAGCCCUGGUAGUCCACGCCCUAAACGAUGUCAACUGGUUGUUGGGAAGGUUCCUUCUCAGUAACGUAGCUAACGCGUGAAGUUGACCGCCUGGGGAGUACGGCCGCAAGGUUGAAACUU
rnacentral:rRNA from 1 species